AGAGCGAACGCUGGCGGCAGGCCUAACACAUGCAAGUCGAGCGCCCGUAGCAAUACGGGAGCGGCAGACGGGAUAGUAACACGUGGGAACGCGCCCUUCGGUUCGGAAUAACUCAGGGAAACUUGAGCUAAUACCGGAUACGCCCUUACGGGGAAAGAUUUAUUGCCGAAGGAACGGCCCGCGUCCGAUUAGCUAGUUGGUGAGGUAAUGGCUCACCAAGGCGACGAUCGGUAGCUGGUCUGAGAGGACGACCAGCCACACUGGAACUGAGACACGGUCCAGACACCUACGGGUGGCAGCAGUCGAGAAUUUUCUCAAUGGGCGAAAGCCUGAAGGAGCGACGCCGCGUGGGGGAUGAAUGGCUUCGGCCCGUAAACCCUGUCAUUUGUGAACAAAUUGUUUCAUCUAACACAUGAAAUAUUGAUAGUAACGGAAGAGGAAGGGACGGCUAACUCUGCGCCAGCAGCCGC
rnacentral:rRNA from 1 species